rnacentral:rRNA from 1 species
UUGACCUCAAAUCAGUGGAAUACUACCCGCUGAACUUAAGCAUAUCAAUAAGCGGAGGA